UAAACAGCUGUUAGCUGUGGGCUCGGGGAAAUUGUUAAUAAAUUUGGAAAAUAGAGAAAUUGGAUGAAAUCGAGCUAUUAAUAAAAGCUGCAGUGGAGCUAAGUACUUUAAGGAUACUGAUUAUUAGGUAGUCUGUUUUUCUCUCCCAGGAGAAGAUCACAGAAACAGGGAAGGGAUUUGAAAACAUUGGGUUUCCCCAUUGCUUUGGAGCAAUGGGUAGGUCAAGCAUAUUUGGAAAAUACUCAUUAUUUAAUACAUUUCUCAAUAGACAGCUGUUACAUCGAUAUAAGUCCGAUAUCAGGGGAUGCAGAGGAUUACCGAUUGUAUUGUAUUUGUAUUACUUACAACUGCUCCAUUGGCGACAACUGGCUGACAACAGUAGACCAGCAGCAGAAGAGGGAGGUUUGUAUAAACAAUACAAAUAAAAGUACAGAAUUCAUCCGGAAAGCUUUGGGACAACAUUUAAGGAGUACAAAUUUAAAAUAAAUUCGGAAAAAUUCUUA